rnacentral:rRNA from 1 species
AUGGAUGAAUUCAUUCUAUUCACAUUGGACCAAGAUACCAGAAUAGUGUACAUUUUGGACCCUACUCCUAUUAAUCCAAUGUACCGAUACAACCCACUCGCAAAAUAUAUGAAAAAAAUUAUAUGGAUUUCCGAACACUUACAAAAAGCAAUGUCAAAAGCAUGCCCUGGGUCUAGAUGGAACGAGGAUAUUCGCCUAUGGCAACAUAAAAUCCUAGAUGAUAUUCCAGUUUACAACAGGGAAUUGUCUGGUUAUCUUGUUCCCCUAUUCAUGUCCACAUGGGAAGACGAAAGACCACAUUUGCCAUUUUUAAAGGAUGGAUAUGAACUCAGAAAACUAAUUUUGGGCCAAGUGCUAACAUUCAAGGACAAUGAAUGUGAAGAUAACAUGCCUACUGGUGUACUGGAAUUCAUCAAUUGUAUUAGGAAAAUCCAAAGUAAAACUGGUAUGUCAAAUAGUAUCAAUUCAUCUCGAAAUGUCAAAUGA